AACGAACGCUGUCGGUAUGCUUAACACAUGCAAGUCGGACGGACUAAUUAGGGCUUGGUCCAAUUAGUUAGUGGCAGACGGGUGAGUAACACGUGGGAAUCUGCCCAUCAGUACGGAGUAACUUUUAGAAAUAAAAGCUAAUACCGUAUAUUCUCUACAUAGUAAAGAUUUAUCGCUGAUGAAUGAGCCCGCGUCAGAUUAGGUAGUUGGUGGGGUAACGGCUCACCAAGCCGGCGAUCUGUAGCUGGUCUGAGAGGAUGAUCAGCCACACUGGGACUGGGACACGGCGCAGACUCCUACGGGAGGCAGCAGUGGGGAAUAUUGGACAAGGGGCGAAAGCCUGAUCCAGCAAUACCGAGUGAGUGAUAAAGGCGCUAGGGUUGUAAAGCUCUUUUAGCAAGGAAGAUAAUGCCGUUACUUGCAGAAAAAGCCCCGGCUACCUCGGU
rnacentral:rRNA from 1 species